AGUAACACGUAUCCAACCUGCCCUUUACUCGGGGAUAGCCUUUCGAAAGAAAGAUUAAUACCCGAUAGCAUAAUGAUUCCGCAUGGUUUCAUUAUUAAAGGAUUCCGGUAAAGGAUGGGGAUGCGUUCCAUUAGGUUGUUGGUGAGGUAACGGCUCACUAAGCCUUCGAUGGAUAGGGGUUCUGAGAGGAAGGUCCCCCACAUUGGAACUGAGACACGGUCCAAACUCCUACGGGAGGCAGCAGUGAGGAAUAUUGGUCAAUGGGCGCUAGCCUGAACCAGCCAAGUAGCGUGAAGGAUGACUGCCCUAUGGGUUGUAAACUUCUUUUAUAUGGGAAUAAAGUUUUCCACGUGUGGAAUUUUGUAUGUACCAUAUGAAUAAGGAUCGGCUAACUCCGUGCCAGCAGCCGCGGUAAUACGGAGGAUCCGAGCGUUAUCCGGAUUUAUUGGGUUUAAAGGGAGCGUAGGUGGACAGUUAAGUCAGUUGUGAAAGUUUGCGGCUCAACCGUAAAAUUGCAGUUGAUACUGGCUGUCUUGAGUACAGUAGAGGUGGGCGGAAUUCGUGGUGUAGCGGUGAAAUGCUUAGAUAUCACGAAGAACUCCGAUUGCGAAGGCAGCUCACUGGA
rnacentral:rRNA from 1 species